GCCACACCCCAUCGCCCUAUAACUGCCCGCAGAUUCUUGAGCUUCAACGACAUGAACUAGGCAUUACCGAAUCUUGAACAGACAGACGUGGGGAAAGAGACAUUAUGAUUUGUUCCGGACGACGGCAGAGAGACAUGACCUCCAUGAUACUUCAUCUGAGACUAUCAACAUGAUACUUCGUCUGAGACUAUCAACAUGAUACUUCGUCUGAGACCAUCAACAUGAUACUUCAUUUGAGACCAUAUGAUUCUUCAUCUGAGAUCAUCAACAUGAUACUUCGUCUGAGACUAUCAACACGAUAUUUCAUCUGAGACCAUCAUUCGUCCACACGGAUUCACACAUAUCAUCAUCCAAGUCAUCAAGACAUACAAUCAAACCUGCCCCAACGACCACCUGUUCAAGACAAUCAAUCACUUGUAUAAACGAGUACAUGUACUUCCACUCCCCAACCCCUGUUUUUUGCGUUUUUACUCUAAUAUUAUAGUGAUACUGUCCAAGACCCCCAUCUGUCUAAGACAAUCACAAUAUUUUUCCUUUACAAUGGAUGGUCGUCUUGGACAGUUUCGACUAUAUUUCGAACCGUUAUUUUGAGUGCAUGCGAACAAUAUAGAACUACAGGGAUACCCGUUGGGUUGACCUGCCACAGAGCAACAGACACUUUCUUUUCGGUAAUACCAGAAAGAAAACAAUUUCUCGGCCAUACAUAUAAUUAAUUACUUAAAUUAUGAUAAUGAACAGCAUUUAUGUCGCAAGAAUUCUUGCUCAACAUCAAACUGUAUGCGCUUUAUAAUCUAUACUACUGUAUAACAUUAUUACCCUGAAGAUCUGAUAGCCUUAUGAAACAAUCUCAAUUUCCUGAGUGCGCAUACAGUGCAAACUGCAUGAUACUUCACGUUUAAUCUAUAUCAUUUCAAAGUCCACAAAAGACACCACCAUUCUGAAGUGACACCAAAAAAAAAA